UUUGCAAGUGAUGAUAAAAUAGACAGGGACAUCAGAACUCCUAUGGAGAAUGAUAGACUUGGUCUUUGGGAAUCUCUCUGAUGCAUU